rnacentral:tRNA from 1 species
GUGGUUGUGGCUCAGUGGUAGAGUGCUCGCCUAGCAUGCAUGAGGUUCUGGUUUUGAUCCUCGACACCACAUAAAAACAAAUUAAUGUAUCCACCUAAAACUAAAGAUACAUACAUAAAUAAAUAUUUUUAAAAAAUUGAAAAUGCUGGGCUGGGGAUUUGGCUCAAGUGGUAGCGCGCUCGCCUAGCAUGCGUGAGACACUGGGUUUGAUUCUCAGCACCACA